GAUGAACGCUGGCGGCGCGCCUAAUACAUGCGAGUAGAACGCUGAAGGAGGAGCUUGCUUCUCUGGAUGAGUUGCGAACGGGUGAGUAACGCGUAGGUAACCUGCCCGGCAGCGGGGGAUAACUAUUCGAAACGAUAGCUAAUACCGCAUAAUAGCAGUUGUUGCAUGACAACUGUUUGAAAGGUGCAAUUGUCCCACUACCAGAUGGACAUGCGUUGGAUUAGCUAGUUGGUGGGGUAACGGCUCCCCACGGCGACGGUACAGAGCCGGCCUGAGAGGGGGGUCGGCCACACUGGGAAUGGGGCACAGCCCAAGCCCCUACGGGGAGCAGCAGUUGGGAAACUUCGGCAAUGGACGGAAGGCUGACCGAGCAACGACGCGGGGGGUGAGGAAGGUUUCGGGUCGUAAAGCUCUUUUGUAAGAGAAAAACGAGUGUGAGAGUAAAACAUUCACGCUUUGACGGUAUCCUACCAGAAAGGAACGGCUAACUACGUG
rnacentral:rRNA from 1 species